UUUUUUUUCAACUGGAUAAAGACGGUUAAAGAGUCUAGUAGGACCAGGAAUAACUGGAUUAACUUUGCCAUCUUGAAAAUUGGAGGUUCUCAGGCCUACAAUAGAGUCCAAAUGAUUAUUUAAACUGUCUUUCUCUGGCGCAUUAAGAGCAUCUUCCUUGUUUUAAAAAUGGCCAAGUUCCCUUUUUUAAUAUGUGAAUCUGGCCAACAUCCAAAUUGUCAUCCAUCCUCUCUCUCUUCAUCACCAUCAUCAUCGACUUAAUCUAUUUUGCUUCUCCGUUUACACCAUUUUGACCUAACCAAGAGGCAAAAAUAACCAAACCAGUGAAACCCAAGCAAAGCUUCUUGCAAUUGUUUCUCAUUUGCUACCCAAUUCUCGCUCAAAUCUUUUGACAAUUAUGGCAAUUCUGGAUUUAUAACGAUUUCUGGUGCAAACUUUUUAAAAAAUAACGGAAGCAAAUGGUGAUGAUAAUUAUUGCUGAAUCAAGAAUCAAUCUCCUUUGAAAUGAUAAAGCAACUUAAAGGUUGUUGAUACCAAAGUUGGAUCAAUGAGAAAUCAGAAAUUCAUGAGAUUUUCAACAAAGACCAAGGAUAAGACUGUUUUAAGCUCUUUGGGUUUCAACGGACGUGCUUUUCUGGCAUAGAAUGGUUAACAAUCAACUGAUUAACAGCUACUAUUACUUGACCCUGUUAGUUACAGACAGCGGUUUCAAUUGCAACAUUGGUAAAAGUUGAAUUAAAUUUUAAUUGUUGAACAAAUGCAAAUCACGAAGUUUAACAAUAAAUGUUUCACUGAAUUCUCUUGGUUAAUUGGGAUAACCAUUUUUUUACCCUGACUGGUGUUAUUGUGUCUAACUCGACUGUUUUGUUUCAUAAUUAGACUCAUGAUCAACCUGAUAAUACUUGGAUUCGGUCAACCUUGCAAAUUAUGGUUUUACUGAACAACAACUGUAAACCAGAAAAUGUUAACAUCACUCAUUUCACUAUGAAAUCAACAACAAUUACAACUUGCAGCAGACAAAAUAGCAAAUAAACAGUCAAUUAUUAUAAUCAUAACAAACCAAUAGAGACAAUACAUAAAAGUUCCUCUUCCUUCACUAUUCUGUUAUUGGUUGUGGCUGUUGUCUUGCCUGUCCUUCAUCCAAACUCAGCAGAAUAACUUCCGUCUACAAUUUAUGCAGAUUAUUUCUUUCAAGUUCACUUCAAGUUUCAGUUGAUUAACUUUCAAGUCACACUCAAACUUUGAUCUCAUUGCGGGUUGAGUUAUGAACACCAGAAACUGCAUAAAUCCCAAUAAAUGUCGCCUUUUUCAUCGUAUUACACUAUUUGGCGGUUUUGGAUGGAUCAAGGUGAACAGCUGAUCUUUUCAAUCAUCAAAAAUUAUCAAGUCAUAAGUCAUCAACUUGCUAAUGAAUGAGAAAGAGUAAUUAUAAAUGUAACAAAAGGAAACUAUGGGUCAAUGUAACUUGCCAUAUUCAUUUAGAUGAUCACAAGUGUAUGAAAUGAGUGAAACCAGCAUUUGCUUCAAGUUUUGGUUGUUGGACUUUUACAGUUUUUGCUGCUACUGCUACUGCCAAUGAUUAUAAUAAUUGUAAGGAUUAUGGUUAUUGCUGUUAUUACCAUGAUAAUUUCAAUGGUGGGCCUAAACGUUAAUGAAAACAAAAAAAGAGGCAAAUAAUUUUCAAGCUGAGUAAACGUAAAAUGUUCAACUUCAAGGACUGUUACAUACAAGUUACCUUUGCUACUGUUACCUUUGCUUCCCCUGAUGUUCAGUAACCUGUUUAUCAAUGGUAACUCAUCUUGAUGGGAGAGCUCGUCAUCAUCAAAAUAAUAACCAUUGAACAAAUGUAAGGUGUGAGGAAAAAAACACAAAGAAGUAACAAAAAAUGGCGAUGAACGCGUAUGGCAAAAAAGAGGAACAAGAAAAAUGGAUGAAAAACAUUUGAUGAAAUCAAAAGGAGAAUAGUUUCUUCGAUAUCUCAAUUGUAUUAAGAUUAUUACUGUUUUUUUUCUCUUCAUUCAUCAUCAUCAUCAUUAACACAAUAGCUGAAAAGAUUAAAAAUCCCAUCAACAUGAUUCAAAUCAUUUUCUUCAACACAAAGCCUGUAACUUUGCUCUUCAUUUUUUUCUGAUCUGUUGUAACCAAAAACCAUGGUCAGGUCACAUUAUGGAUCAACCAUGGAAGAUGAAAAUCUGGUCUAAAAGAUUGGAGAAUGCUGAGCUUUUUGUCCCCAAAAUGCGAUUCCAUUGUUACCUAUGCUCAAAACCUGCUGAGUUUUUGAUACGCAUCGUUAUCACACAUUUAGGAUCAUGUUUUAUUUUUUUCACCUCACGAUUGACCUUUAACAAGUAUCAGCUCUGUUAUCAAACAUUGAAGCACCUUAAAUUAACCAACAUUAACAUCAGUAAUCAUGGACUGUUAAUGAUUGUCAUAAUCGACCCACAACCCAAUUUAAAUCUGUCACUGGCUAUUAACGGGACCCAACGGAAUCCAUUGUAAUACUAAAAAUGAAGGUUUUUGGGUACAAAAAUGAUGGUUGCAUUGGAUAUUAAAAGAUCAAAAGACGGCUUAAAUAGCACCUAAACGUGAUUCUCAAGCAUAUAAUUCAUAUUAAAAUCAUUUUUGAUAAUGGUUAUGCUAAUGAUGAAGAGGUGAUGAGACAAUUGUUACCUGAACAUUUCUGAUGCAAUCAUUUGAUCUACAACUUGUUUGUCUGCAACAUACAACCGAUUUAACAACCCAUUAGCUGAGCAAUGGACUGACAUUGUUAUUUUGAGAUUUACUGUUGCUUUUAAAUCGCAAAACUGAACGGUUGAUUGGGUCAGUUUGAACAUUUCACUUGAAACUUCAACUUUUAAUUGGAUGAGAUUAUCAAGUGAUCUUAACUUGAUUGUUAACAUUUUUCAGUCCAUUCAAUCCAAUCAAGCAACGUUUAUAUUUGACCAAACUAAUUUUAAAAAAUUUACUGCUUAAUGGAUGUAACAAUAAUGGAUGGUGAUCAAUGAAGACAGUUUAAUGUUCUGAUGAUCGUUUCUGGUUGAACCUGUUCAUCAUGGACAAUUCAAUUUUACAUUAAUGGCUGAUGAAAGUUCAAAGGGAAAAACACUGUUAACUUCAAUUGUUAACAUUAUGGAGUGACUAAACCAUGGCUGAAGAGGUAAUCAAUGAGAUUCAUCAUCGCCGUCAUAGCAAUCAUUUUAAAAAUACUGGAGGUUUGUCAAUAAUGAAAAGCACAAUCAAUAACUGAUCAAUGAUGUGUUAUCCCCAAGAAAGGCGCAAUUCCAUCACAAUAAAGCUAAAUCAAUUUCUCAACAAAUCCAUACGCUUUUCGGUUGUUAAUCGUUCAACUUUAAUAGUUCAUCAUUACAUUCAUAUUCAAAUGAGCUUAAAAUUCAACACCCAAGAUUAGGUUUGGGUUAAGCCUCAUCGAGUAAUUUAUAGUUGAGUUUCUUUCAAAAUUUGUGUUUCCAUUUUGAUCACUACAUACUGUAAAUUAAAUUACUGUUAAAGGGCAA